AUCUCUUAUAAAAUCAUACAGGAAACAUUAUCAAACAUAAAAUGAUGUUUGACUUUCUUUAUUCUAAAAACUAAUAAAAAUAGGUGCUAAAAAUUUUCCAAAUGAAAAUAAAUAUUGCUAAACCAAAGAGAAAUGUUAUCUAAGCCCCGUAUAAAAAAUAAAUAAAUCUUGUUCCAAUUGCAUCAAAAAACCCAUUAAGGGCCCUCCAGCACAGGGUUAAUACCAACGAGUUUCCACCUCCAGCUGCUCCUAGAGUGGCCACAGCAUGAGCCAUCUGGUGGGGGACCUAGCCGCCAACAGACACUUCCUGUACAGGGGAGGGGGGAGGGGGCCAGGCAGCCGUUAGACAGCACAACCGAACCCAACACCGGGGCCCAACGGCAGGGGCUUGGGCAGGAGCAAGGUCCGAGGGCUGCCAGGUCCACGCUGCUUUUAUGAGCUGUAACACUCACCGCGAAGAUCUGCAGCUUCACUCCUGAGCCCAGCGAGACCACGAGCCCACCGGGAGGAACAAACAACUCCAGACGCGCUGCCUUAAGAGCUGUAACACUUGCCGUGAAGGUCUGCAGCUUCACUCCUGAGCCAGCGAGACCACGAACCCACCAGAAGGAAGAAACUCCGAACACAUCUCAACAUCAGAACGGACAGACUCCAGACGCACCACCUUAAGAGCUGUAACACUCACCGCGAGGUUCCGCGGCUUCAUUCUUGAAGUCAGUAAGACCAAGAACCCACCAAUUCCGGACACAGUAGCAUUUGGGAAUAAUAAGAAUUGUAGCUGGGCAUGGUGGUACACGCCUGUAGACCCCUAGCAGCUGCCAUCAUCCUCACCAUCCGCAUAUUAUUGAUAUAUUAACUCUUUGAUGGCAACCAUAGCUUAUCCCCCUUAUCUCCCUAUGCCCUACAGCAGGGCAGUGGAAUGGUUAAGAGGCUUUGAAGUCUAAGAGUGCUGGCUUAAAACCCUAAUUUGUCAUUUUGGAUGUGUGGCUUUGGACACUUGGGGCAGGUCACCUAUGUUCUUCAAGCCCUGUAUCCUUAUCUGUCAGAUGAUGAUUUUUUUUUUUUUAGACGAAGUCUCACUCUCUUGCCCGGGCUGGAGUGCAGUGGCAUGAUCUCGGCUUACUGCAAGCUCCACCUCCCGGGUUGACGCCAUUCUCCUGCCUCAGCUUCCUGAGUAGCUGGGACUACAGGCUCCUGCCACCACCCGUGGCUAAUUUUUUUGUAUUUUUAGUAGAGACAGGGUUUCACCAUGUUAGCCAGGAUGGUCUCGAUCUCCUGACCUCGUGAUCUGCCCGCCCCAGCCUCCCAAAGUAUCAGAUGAUUUUAACAACUAUGCUUCCAUGACUUGCUGGGCUAGAUGAUAUGACUGUAAAAUGCCUAACCCAUGGUUUAGCAUCAAGUAAGCAAAUUGUAAAUGGUAGCACUGCUCUGCCUAUGACUAUUUAGUCUUGUGCUUUAAACUCAAAUAUUUGUUGGCCUACUGAAGUCACCACACAGAGAAAGAUGCUUUUCAUUCUCAGUAAAGAACUUUGGGAGAUAACUGGGGCAGGCAGCAAGAGAACAGAUGUCAUAUGUCUAGCAUCAGCAAACUCAUCAGAACUGAUGGGCAGCUCACUUUGCUUAGAACCUGCACCAGCAUACACACGGGGCUGCUUCCCAGUCACACUGCUCCUGGGAAGGUAGGGGGGCUGCUGUUCUGCAAUUAGCGCGGUUCUUUACCUCCUAUUACCGAACUGCCAGAGUUCAUUUGUGUUCAGUUAGGUAGAUGACCAAUUCUUGUUCAUUCCUAUUUUCUUUUGCUCACUAAUGUGUUUAACGUUCACUAACCUACCAAAUGUGAUUUAUUAGCGACUUUUUCUUUGAAGAUGGAGUGGAGGAAUCCUAGCGCUUUCUGCAACAUGCUACUGCUGUUAUGGAACAGUGCAGAUAUGGAAGUGCAUCAGCCGGGGAUGGGGAGAGGCUAGGGCAGUACAUGUGAAUGGAGAGGUAGCCCCACCAGUGUGUUUUCUGAAAUACAGUCCCGCAGAGGGCAGUCUUGGGAAAUUACUGUUCUCACACACUCUUCUUGACCCUACCCCUCCAGCACCUCCCUUGCUAUCCAAGGGUUGGGAUUUUUAAAAAGAAAAACAAAUUUUAAAAAAAGCAGUGUGAAUCUUUUGCCAUCUUGUAAGGGUGAAAAGCCCCCUACCAAGUCGGGAUGAACAUUCAUGCGUGUGCUUGAGGGCUUGGGAAAAAGACAGGGCUUGGCCCCACAGUGCAGGUAGGCCCAGUGAUCCUAUAAUAGGGGCCAGGAGAUGGGAGGUCCCCUGUGGGCAGGAGUUCAAGUAUGUGGUAUUAUAUGACUGGUGCUUGAUGAACCCAGGGAGAGGGCACCAAAAACAAUGGUAUUUAAUUGUAAAAUCUCCACCCCCUGAGGAUAUGUUUUCAGGUCUGGGUGACUAAUUAGACUGGGAAACAAGGGCAGGAACGAUGGCCCUGUGCUUGCUCUGCCCGCUGCCUCUGUGGAUGUGUGGGCUGCUGGCUUCAGUCCUGCUUUUCUUUCUGAUGGUAUUGUUUAUGCUAUGUGUUUUUGCAGGAGGCCUGAGGUGGGCUGGGUUCUCCUCCUAUGGCAGGGCUUCACUCUCCUCCUCCUUCUCUGUUGGGGCUUCACUGUCCCUGGGAUAAGAAUAACAAUGCCAAGGUUUUCAUUCUUGAAAGGAGCAAUUAAGCGUCUCACCCCCUCCUCAUUUUAGAUGGGAACUGUGAGGGUCCCGUCAUUUACCCAGGGUCCCUGUUGAGGAUCUUGUCCUCAUUAGAUGACUUCUUGUGCAGCUUCCAUGCGUGAUUCUUUACUCUUGUGGCACUGAGAGGUUUGUACAUGUCUUUAAGCCAGAGCGGCUUUCUGAAUGAAAAAAGUCCAUCCUAGAAGAUAGAAAGGGAAAUAUUAAUUUUGCAUGUCCUCUGCUUUCCCUGGUCACAGCAAUGAAUCCUCCAAUGUACCUGACUCUCCCUUUGCGAAGAGCAUCUCCGUGGCAGAAAUCUGAAAAUGCCCCUGGGGAGACACAUGCACAAGACAGUUCGUGAGCCACACAUCUCCCCACACCAAGCUCCUCCAUACAAGACCUCGGACUGCAUCACGUAAAUGCUUUUUCAGGGGCAAAAUCUAGAGAAUCUGAAACGAGCUAUCAGCUUCCCAGUUUGCACAAUUCAUCAAGAAAUUAUGCGGGGUCACUGGCACAAAUGAUGAGGCAUCUCCUGGAAGCUUAACUUCUUAUCCAUCCCAUCUCUUGGACAGAUGAUGCCAGUUAAUUACUUUGAAUAGAAGACUCACUGGUGGCACCUGCAGCUGCGGCGUUUUCCCCAAGGGGUCUGUCACACGCAGCCCAACUCAACUGGAGUCCUGAGAAGGUGAACAGACCAGGAUGGAUGGCCAGGGAACUCACCAGAAGUCCCCAGGCAUCAGAACAAGGUCGAAGCAUCCUGAAGCCGACAGCUCUGGGCUUGUGCCCAUCAAGCACUCUUCUGCCCAUUUUAUACUCUUGUGGACGCAUGGUGGUGUUGAUACAGGCCCCGAGUUAAAGGAUCCAUGGCUGCACGUGACAAGACAAAGCAAAAGCAGGCCAGAGUUAAACACGCCCCUUGGGUCCCCUCCUUCACUUCAUAAAUGGGAAAACCAAGGUCUAGGCAGGGAAAGGGGCUCAGCCAAGGCUACAUACACAGCACACUCACGGCCGAGCCGGGAUUAGGACUCCCAGCAUACCCCGUAGCCUUCUCUAAUAAGAGAUAGGCUGCUGGGUUCUUCUUUAUCAAGUGUUGGUCACUCAUUAUUUCUCUCUGUGUUUCUUAAAACAAUUAUUCUUUAAUAUCGUUAUAUAUUCAGUAAGUGUUCAAAUUUCCAACUGUUUUAUGUCAGAAAGCAUUUUCUAACAUUUUGAUUAAAUCAAGAUCCAAAUAAGAUGCACACAAUAUGAUUAGUUGAUGUCUCUUAA
rnacentral:lncRNA from 1 species